GCUUGUCUCAAAGAUUAAGCCAUGCAUGUCUAAGUAUAACUCUUUUACUUUGAAAACUGCGAACGGCUCAUUAUAUCAGUUAUAGUUUCUUUGAUAGUCCCUUACUACUUGGAUACCCGUAGUAAUUCUAGAGCUAAUACAUGCAUCAACUCCCAACUGCUUGUCGGACGGGAUGUAUUUAUUAGAUUGAAACCAAUGCGGGGCAACCCGGUAUUGUGGUGAAUCAUAAUAACUUUGCGGAUCGCAGACCUCGCGUCGGCGACGAAUCAUUCAAGUUUCUGCCCUAUCAGCUUUGGAUGGUAGGGUAUUGGCCUACCAUGGCUCUAACGGGUAACGGAGAAUUGGGGUUCGAUUCCGGAGAGGGAGCCUGAGAGAUGGCUACCACAUCCAAGGAAGGCAGCAGG
rnacentral:rRNA from 1 species